UCAGAAACGAUUUCAAAACAUUUCAAAACGCCCGCUUCCCUGCUUCUCUCUCUCUCUCUCUCUCUCUCUCUCUCUGACGAUUCAGGAACGAUUUCACUGGAUCUGCUCCUCUCUCUGGUGAUUCAGGAACGAUUUCACCAGAUCUAUGAAGUUUCAACAGAUCGAUGAAGAUUCUGACCUCCUGGUUCUGUUUUCCGGCUUUUAUUGGCAUUUUGCAACAUUCGUCAAGGGAGCAGGAUGUGGAUGCUGGUGAUUGUGACAUUGUUCAAGUCAUUGAAAACAAUGGAGAUAUUUUAAAGCUUUUGCGCCUCACACAUGUAGGUGGAGGCUACAAAUCAGUUUUUAAAGGUGGUGAUAGGGUUGUGGAGAUUCCAAUUGAUGAGUCACACGGGUUCAUUUAUCAGCUCCCAGCUGUUCGUUUAACGGAUGAACAAGAUGGUCGAUUGAGAGGGUUUUGGUGAGUCACACAGGUUCCUUUUAAAGCUUUUUCCCCUCACACAUGUAGGAUAGAGAAGUAAAACGAUUCAUUGAAGAUCCACAUUUGUUUGUUUGUACAUUCACAGAAGGUAAAGAAAUUAUAUUUAUUAUGUCAUAAAGCAUUUUUUGUAUGUUGCUAUAUUAUUAUUAUUAUUCUGGUUUGUGACUUGUUUUGAUACCAGGUGUGGGUUCUCAACCAAGUGAUCUCAAGGUAAAAGAGAUAUUCAGUUACACUCGGGACGAGUUAACUACCGAAGACAUGUUAAUACUCGACUGUCACACUGUUUUAUGGUGACUAAGCGGAUGAUGGUUUUUGUUUGUUUUAGUUGACACAAUGGUAAGGAAGAGGAGAACUGAAGGUCCCAGUGGUGGUGAAAGCUCUGAGCCCCAGGAAGGAAGUGGUGCUCAAAGACAACCAGCAUAGCAGCAAUAACAUUAGCAGCAGCAGCAAGGUGGCUAUCAAGGAAGAGGCUAGGGUGGUGGUUAUCAAGGGCGAGGGCAGCAGGGUGGUUACCAAGGCGGACAGGGUGGUUACCAAGGCGGACACGGUGGCUAUCAAGGCGGACACCGUGGCUACCAAGGUGGACAACCUCAAGGGUGAAGAGGUUGGGCACAAAGGGGUGGACGCGGUGGUCGAGGUGGCGGUGAUCCACAGCAGUAUGCUCCAAGAGGAACUGCGCCACCUCAGCGACGUGGUGGGCCUGGACCUAGGACGCCCAUUCCCGAGCUGUACCAAGCAACACAAGCUCCUCAACAGUCUGUGUCGACAUUGCAGCCAGCGACACCUGGAACACCAGUUGAAGUGCAUGCCGAGUCAUUAUCCACCAAGCAGAUGGUGGAUGAGUCAGCGGAUCAGUUGCAGCAGCUAUCAGUGCAGCAAGAAGAACCCAGCCAGUCUGUCACACAUGCCUCCAGCAAACAAAUCAUUGAGGUUUCCUUUGCGUCCGGGAAAAGGUCGCAUCAGAGAAAGUUGCAUUGUCAAAGCUAACCACUUUUUUUGCUGAGCUGCCUGAUAAGGAUCUACACCAAUACGAUGUGACAAUCAAUCCUGAAAUGACAUCACGUGGUGUGAACCGAGCCGUAACGGCACAACUUGUGAAUGAGUGGAUUUCGGCUAUGUUUCAUUUUUAACAGACAUAAAAGAAAUUUAGUUUAACAGGAAACAGGUUGAAUGGAUUGAACGGUUCAUAGUCGCCCAAGUUUUUAUGUAUCUGAUAGACACAUUGCAAGGAGGUGCUUCAAGAAGUUAUCUAUAAUCUUUCUUAAGAUAAAGUUAGAAGAUGGGAGUAGGGUUGAGUGCCUUCAAGCGUAAUGGUGUUGGGCCAGACUUGAUCAUUUAGAAUCUGCAGACGGUGACGAUAUAUCAGAGUGGAAUAACAUGUGGUUGAAGCGAUUUCUGGUGGACUAUAUGCUGCGAAUGUCACACUAUGACACUGUCACAAAGCUUGCUGAAAGCAGUAAGUUACAGGAUCAUGUUGAUAUUGAGAUCUGUUUAUGAAGCCAAUAGCCCCUGCUCUAGCCUGGUAUGCUGAUAACAAGUCUAGGUUAAAGAAAUUCAUGGUACUUUAUAUAGUUAUAACUUGUAAUUGCUAUUGACAUAAGAAGGAUGCAAUAUGUUUGUUAUUUUGGUUUUUUCUUAUGUACAUUUUUGUUUGUAUUAUUGGUUAACUGAAUACACUGGAGCUUGAAUUUUCCAAAGUUUCAUAAAAUGUUACUACUUUAUUA